AGACCCGAAACCCGGUGAUCUAGCCAUGGGCAGGUUGAAGGUUGGGUAACACUAACUGGAGGACCGAACCGACUAAUGUUGAAAAAUUAGCGGAUGACCUGUGGCUGGGGGUGAAAGGCCAAUCAAACCGGGAGAUAGCUGGUUCUCCCCGAAAGCUAUUUAGGUAGCGCCUCGUGAAUUCAUCUCCGGGGGUAGAGCACUGUUUCGGCUAGGGGGCCAUCCCGGCUUACCAACCCGAUGCAAACUGCGAAUACCGGAGAAUGUUAUCACGGGAGACACACGGCGGGUGCUAACGUCCGUCGUGAAGAGGGAAACAACCCAGACCGCCAGCUAAGGUCCCAAAGUCAUGGUUAAGUGGGAAACGAUGUGGGAAGGCCCAGACAGCCAGGAUGUUGGCUUAGAAGCAGCCAUCAUUUAAAGAAAGCGUAAUAGCUCACUGGUCGAGUCGGCCUGCGCGGAAGAUGUAACGGGGCUAAACCAUGCACCGAAGCUGCGGCAGCGACGCUGAUGCGUUGUUGGGUAGGGGAGCGUUCUGUAAGCCUGCGAAGGUGGCCUGUGAGGGUUGCUGGAGGUAUCAGAAGUGCGAAUGCUGACAUAAGUAACGAUAAAGCGGGUGAAAAGCCCGCUCGCCGGAAGACCAAGGGUUCCUGUCCAACGUUAAUCGGGGCAGGGUGAGUCGACCCCUAAGGCGAGGCCGAAAGGCGUAGUCGAUGGGAAACGGGUUAAUAUUCCCGUACUUGGUGUUACUGCGAAGGGGGGACGGAGAAGGCUAUGUUGGCCGGGCGACGGUUGUCCCGGUUUAAGCGUGUAGGUGUGUGUUCCAGGUAAAUCCGGUUCACUUUAACACUGAGGCGUGACGACGAGGCACUACGGUGCUGAAGCAACAAAUGCCCUGCUUCCAGGAAAAGCCUCUAAGCAUCAGGUAACACGAAAUCGUACCCCAAACCGACACAGGUGGUCAGGUAGAGAAUACCAAGGCGCUUGAGAGAACUCGGGUGAAGGAACUAGGCAAAAUGGUGCCGUAACUUCGGGAGAAGGCACGCUGACACGUA
rnacentral:rRNA from 1 species